AGAAAGCCAUUGCUAUUGAAUAUGGCGAUUGGGAUGAGUCAUAUGCGAAACUUUCGUCGUGGCUAACACACAUGCAAAAUCAUUCUCCAGGAUCGUAUUUUCAAAUAUUACAUGACGAUUUUAUCGUUGGAAAUACGGUUAGUCGCGAACACCGCCAAUUUCAUAGAGUUUUCUGGACUUUUGGCCAAUGUAAAGAGGCUUUCAAGUACUGUAAGCCAAUCAUACAAGUUGAC
rnacentral:lncRNA from 1 species